rnacentral:rRNA from 1 species
CUGCAUGGUUGAUUUUUGAAAGUUGGUUAUGCUAACACUAUGAGAUGGCCUUUGCGGUGCAUUAGCUAGUUGUGGGGUAAAGGCCCCCCAAGGCGACGAUGCAUAGCCGACCUGAGAGGGUGAUCGGCCACACUGGGACUGAGACACGGCCCAGACUCCUACGGGAGGCAGCAGUAGGGAAUCUUCCGCAAUGGGCGAAAAGCUGACGGAGCAACGCCGCGUGAGUGAAGAAGGAUUUCGGUUCGUAAAGCUCUGUUGUUAGGGAAGAAUGGAUAUGUAGUAACUAUACAUGUACGAGAC